rnacentral:rRNA from 1 species
UAGGGAAUCUUCCGCAAUGGACGCAAGUCUGACGGAGCAACGCCGCGUGAGUGAAGAAGGAUUUCGGUUCGUAAAACUCUGUUGUUAGAGAAGAACAGCGCAUAGAGUAACUGUUAUGCGUGUGACGGUAUCUAACCAGAAAGCCACGGCUAACUACGUGCCAGCAGCCGCGGUAAUACGUAGGUGGCAAGUGUUGUCCGGAUUUAUUGGGCGUAAAGCGAGCGCAGGCGGUCAAUUAAGUCUGAUGUGAAAGCCCCCGGCUCAACCGGGGAGGGUCAUUGGAAACUGGUUGACUUGAGUGCAGAAGAGGAGAGUGGAAUUCCAUGUGUAGCGGUGAAAUGCGUAGAUAUAUGGAGGAACACCAGUGGCGAAGGCGACUCUCUGGUCUGUAACUGACGCUGAGGUUCGAAAGCGUGGGUAGCGAACAGG